GUGUGCGUGCAAAACCUGACCAACCGCUCGCUGCCUGAGAGCCCGGCUCAGUUCUCCUCUGUGUUUGGGGCUUGGUUUGGUUUGGUUUGGUUUUUUGUUUGUUAAUCCAGUGGAAACGGUGUUUACCUUGCUGCCUGUUUUUGGUUGGGGGGGGGGGGGUGUGAUUUUUGUUUUGGUUUGUUUUGUUUUUCCCUGGGUGUCACUUGUCAAAAGGGUGGGGGAAAAUAUACUGUGGAAGGUGACAAUUCAAUUUAUGGUCUCCCCAUCUCCCCUCGGAGAUGUUACUUUAUAAUAGUAGGUAACGAUGCCUCUCUCCUUCCAUUUUCCCCCCUUCCUCCCUUCCUUCCUCCCUUCUUUCCUCCCUCCCUCCCUUCCUCUCUUCCUCCCUUCCUCUCUUCCUUCCCCUCUCCUCCUCCUCUCUCCCCUCUCUCACUCCACAGCUGCAGGUGAAUUUCACCGGCGCUACCGCAGCAGGAGCCCGAGCUUUCACUGUGAGCCUCGACAAAGCGUGCACACAUUCCACAGAUUUUAAUCAAGCAAAACACAACGGGGCUGUGUGUUACCCCGGAUCAGCAAAGCCGCGGCCAGGGCUGCCCACGGGGUACGGGCUUUUUCCAGCUUCGUCCCGGCCUGACAGAGUGUGUGAGAGUACGUGCGGGAGGCAGUGGAGGGGUUGCAGUACCACCCUUCUUCCUCCCUUCUCUCCUACUGCAAUUAAUUUCUGUUAGACAGGCAAAAUAAAAUCUUCGUUUA